ensembl:lncRNA
AGAGUAGCAAGUCUGGUAGUAAGCCCCACGUCUGCAGCACGUCAUUGGUUUCUUUGGUAGCCAAUUACAAGUGAGGCUGCAGCAAGUUCGGUUGUAAUCACUACGUCUGCAGAGAGUUAGUUUCUCUUUAGUUGUUGGUGUGGAGCGGACCUUGUGGUUGUGUACGUGUGCGUAAAUGAUAAACCAACCACACAAAGAAGACAAACUCUUCUACCGAUGCCCCCUGGCGGUCACAACAUAUUAAAACCAGCCGAAAUAGCUCUCCCCACAACAAACGGUGCCGAAUCCCGGGACACUGUGUGACCACUGUGGAUUAAGUAGAAAUGUAUUCAGAGCAGAGUCGCCCUCCACACGAAGCAGAGACAGCGUGGAUGCAGGACUACGUUCCCUCCUUUCCUGCACAGCAGUGGGCAGACAAUGCAUCUGCUGAGCAUCAGUGCCUGCAUGCCCAUGCACACAUGGAGAGACCAGUAGAGAGAAUUGCCAGGAUGACACCUCUCACCCCUCCGUGGCCAGUUGGGGACUGGAGUCUGAGACAGGGAGACAGAGAAGGACGGGAAAUGGGAGAGUUCACAAGUCCUGAGGAUGUGGAAGACAUCCAUCACCAGAUUGGAAUGUAUGAUAUCGGGUCUUAUGCUGAUUGGAUCUGGCAUUUUCCUGAAUUAUCGCAAAAAAUUGGAUUACGUUGGCAGCACUAUUGGAAGCCGCAGUUAACGAAGAAAGGAGCCAAACUCUCUGAACUCUCUCAGAUGGAUUCCACCGUGGAACUUUAAGAGGAGGAUAGUUUGUCUCACAGGAUAUGGCCACACUAUUGGAUUACUUAUCGAACUGACCAGGAACAGUAGGGCUGGCAGCCAUGUUAUGGCUAGCCCGUCUCAAAACACCUUCUCUAUUCUCAUUCGGCCCCCCCCGAAUGAGCAGCCUGUGGUCUGUUUUCUUCUCUCCAAACUCUCCAAGGACGGAAUGUUGAUAAGACGCUCUGACCUUUCCCUCACUUUUCAUGUACACCUGGUCCCGGCUCUGCCAACGAACUCUCGAGGUCAUCUCUAUGUGAGAGUCAGCAGCAGAGUCUGAGUAAACAGGCUUAUCUCAACGAACACUUUUCACUCCCCCUACAUCACUACAUAUCCUAUAUUGUCACUGUCUCUUCUGGCUCCAACCCUCCUCCCUCCCAGCGGUUGGUCAGUAGGAGGCGCGCCAUAAGGGCAGCGCCACACUGUGGCUGACCUGCGAACUACCCAUCCUAAAGACCCAUCCCCUGUGCUAACGUGCUGUUGUAUUGAAUUGAAUGUUGUGUUUGUGGGUUUCUGUCGCAAUGUUGCUGAAGAGUUUUUUUUCAUGAUCCCAAACUUUGCCCCUCUCUACAAGGGCCUAGUUUGGUUUUUGCCUUUUUUUAUCUCUUCUUCCUCCCCAUCGUUUGUUAUCCCAUUUCUCAUCUGAAUAAGGGGCGCCGCCCUGGUGGCGAACCACAGUUCUCCCGCUCCUGUGCUCCCAUGUUUAUGAUUGUCUUUUCAUGUUUUCCUG